rnacentral:ncRNA from 2 species
UUAUAUCCAAUCACUCACGGUGCUGCUCUGAUUCCGGAGCAGAUAAUUGGGAAGCUGGUCAAAAAUCCAGCGCUGCCCCCGCAACGGUAGCGAAGCGCAACUUUCGGCAAUAACCACUGGCUUUGGCCGGGAAGGUGCCGAGAGCGUCCACCUGGACAGCUUCGGAGCCCGGAAACCAGCCAUGAGAUGAAACAACUC